rnacentral:rRNA from 1 species
GCGUGGAGGAUUGAAGUCCUUCGGGACGUAAACUCCUUUCGAUCGGGACGAUUAUGACGGNUACCGGAAGAAGAAGCCCCGGCUAACUUCGUGCCAGCAACCCGCGGUAAUACGAGGGGGSCGAGCGUUGUUCGGAAUUAUUGGGCGUAAAGGGUGCGUAGGCGGUUUGGUAAGUCUGAUGUGAAAUCUAUGGGCUCAACUCAUAGUCUGCAUCGGAAACUGCCGGGCUUGAGUAUGGGAGAGGUGAGUGGAAUUCCUGGUGUAGCGGUGAAAUGCGUAGAUAUCAGGAGGAACACCUGUGGCGAAAGCGGCUCACUGGACCAUAACUGACGCUGAUGCACGAAAGCUAGGGGAGCAAACAGGAUUAGAUACCCUGGUAGUCCUAGCCCUAAACGAUGACUGCUUGGUGUGACGGGUACCCAAUCCCGCCGUGCCGUAGCUAACGCGUUAAACCAUUCCGCCUGGGGAGUACGUUCGCAAGGCUGAAANUCAAAGGAAUKGACGGGGGCCSGCACAAGCGGUGGAGCAUGUGGUUUAAUUCGACGCAACGCGAAGAACCUWACCUGGGCUCGAAAUGUACAGGAAUCCAGUGGAAACAUUGGCGUCCCGCAAGGGACCUGUAUAUAGGUGCUGCAUGGCUGUCGUCAGCUCGUGUCGUGAGAUGUUGGGUUAAGUCCCGCAACGAGCGCAACCCUUAUCUUCAGUUGCUACCAUUUAGUUGAGCACUCUGACGAAACCGCCUCGGAUAACGGGGAGGAAGGUGGGGAUGACGUCAAGUCCUCAUGGCCUUUAUGUCCAGGGCUACACACGUGCUACAAUGGCCGGUACAAACCGUCGCAAACCCGUGAGGGGGAGCUAAUCGGAAAAAGCCGGCCUCAGUUCGGAUUGGAGUCUGCAACUCGACUCCAUGAAGCUGGAAUCGCUAGUAAUCGCGGAUCAGAACGCCGCGGUGAUAGUUCCCGGC